rnacentral:rRNA from 1 species
UACGGAGGUGGCAAGCGUUGUUCGGAAUUACUGGGCGUAAAGGGCGCGUAGGCGGCUAGGCAAGUCAGGUGUGAAAGCCCCGGGCUUAACUCGGGAACUGCAUCUGAAACUGCCUUGCUUGAGUCCUGGAGGGGGUAGUGGAAUUCCAGGUGUAGCGGUGAAAUGCGUAGAUAUCUGGAGGAACACCGGUGGCGAAGGCGGCAUCCUGGACCAACACUGACGCUGAGGAGCGAAAGCCAGGGGAGCAAACGGGG